rnacentral:tRNA from 1 species
CCGCCUGGAACUCGAGAGGCAGAGCAGCCGGUUCUUACCCGGCGAGGUGUGGGUUCGAGCCCCACGAGGCGGACCA